GGACGAGCUGGGCGGGCGAGGAGACGGGCUGUGCGGAGCUGUGUUUGGGAACCUUGGGAGUUCAGGAACCAGCCAGCCCACAGUUUCACGGACAUGAGUUCUUUGAGAAGGUCACGAAAGCCCCGCCCUGUCUCCCCAGAAAACGGCUGCCUAUAAUUGCAGGGGGUUCAAGCUCACGGUUUCCCGGGACAUUUGUGCAGAUGAAAUUGAUCAGCGGCAGGAGGAAGAUAGCUGUUGCCUAGGCAACCAGCCGAUGACUCAUCCUGGCUUUGAAGCAGCAAAAGCCAUGAGCCUGCAGUAAUUUUCCAGAUGCUUAACCUGUCCUCCUCCUUCUCUGUCUUUCUUUGUUUUCCUCUCUCCAUCCUUCAUUUCUUUCUGCACCCUCACUUCCCCGGGUCCUCCUUAAACUUGACACUGAGUGCUGCAGGAUCUCUGCAGGGGGUGGGUAUAGGGGGUGGUCCUGAGCUCCCCAGAGCAGUUUUGUGGACCUCAUCCCACCAGUAAUAGGUGGCUUUCCCUGCUGCUGCUCCUUAUGUCUCCUAACCGGGAAAUGGCCAGGCUGUCACCGUCGGUGCUGCAGAGCCCCCAAGAUGCUGCUUGUUGCCCUUGAUCAGAGAACCUCAAGUGAACCCGGCACUUUUUCUUUGAAUCUAAACUAAACGGAGCACACCCCUCUAUCUCAGAGAUCUGCAGUGUUCCUUUGAGGACAGACAGUUAUCCUGUGGGCCUCCCAAGCCAAGUUGCGCCAGUGACGUUUACAGGCGACAGAGGCCACCGUUGGCAGCUCUCUGGAUGCUGGGUUUUCCCAUCCUCCUUCGCUGACGUUCCCCACUCCUCGUCUUGUGUCUGAUGUUCCAGGCCCUUCUUAAUUAGCCAUCGCAAUCGUCUCUACAACGCGGAGUAUAGAAGCUUGAACCGUUCCCCUUCCAAAAGCAUUUUCAUUUUAACAAGGUUUUCAGAAGCAAAAUAUUUUAAAACUCAGGG